AUGUCAGCUUCGCUGAGUUAAAUACAUUGAAACUGCGGUUUUUAUAUGGGCUUUAAAAAUUUGCUGUGGCCCAGAUUAAACAUUACACCUAAACCUAUUUUCACUCCGGAACGUCAUCGAAAGAUGUUUCUUCCACUUGGUCGCCACCGAUCAUUUCCUCUGUAAUUGCCGUUACAGCUGUCCUUACUUCAUCAAUCAAUGAUGUUCUUUACUCAGUCCUUUAUUGUUUUGAUCAACCUCCUGAUGCUUCUUCAUCCUCCAAAUCCAGAUGUUUCAUGUUUCUUUCAACCACUUGCUAUAAAUUUAGAGCCAUACACAUGAACCCUCACUACCCAAACCAAGUACUCUGCAGUUCUUACUUUUCUAUUCACCUUUUCCGUCAUGGCUAAUCUCGAUUUAGUCGUCCUCCUUGACAUUCGACAAUCUGCAUAUUUGCCAUUUUCUCAAGAGGUUGUCUGGAGACUCAUCAUGUACUGGGAUUAUUAGGUUUUUCAAAUAUCCCUUGCCUGUUCAAUAGCUAUUAAUCUCGAUACCAAGAGUUUCUUGCGGAUAAAAAGGAUAAUUAGUUAACUUCCUUUUGGAUUUUUAAAACUGUUAUCAUUCUCGGCAAUUCAAUUUUUAUUUUCCAUUUCUCCGUCAUGUUUGAUUCCUCUUAUGAGUUUUUGGUAAUCAACAAACUCCCAAGCUGAUUCUUUCUAAAUAUGUAGUAAAAUCUAUCAUCUUAAUUUGUUGGUUACAUAAUUUUACUUUUGUUUUGGCGUUCACUCUAAUGAUUGUUAUUGUUGAAUUAACUUGAUUUUAGUUGAUCGUCCCAAGUUCUGAUUGGAUCGCCUCCAAGGAAAAAAACUCAGGUUUGCUAAUAACGGACAUGUUUCUUUGUUAAUAUUGUAAUCCGUCAUCUCUUUCAUCACGUGAUCUUAGUUGGUUCUUUCUGAUUGUUUCAUGACUUUUCUACUUUGGCUUAUAGAAACUCAUAUUCAGGAGAUGGAGGAGGAACUUAAGCUUCUCAAGAAUCACUCUCAACCAAAUAUAUUUGUAAGUAAUAAAAGCUUUUUGUAUUCACUGUUUGGUACACCCACUACGUCUUUGUUCUUUUAUAACUCUUUCAUUCAAAGCUUUGUUUUCACGAUCUCCCUGUUUUGUAAGGCAUGGCUACUUGAAACUGAUUGUUUAAAAUCUUGAUUUUGAGCUUUUGGAUGAAGAAGGGAAGUGGGAAGAAAUGUUGGCUGUUAUUAGCGAGGAAGCUGGAGCAUUAGCCACGGCUGAUGGGAACCAAGAGCUUAAACUCAAGUGUUUCUAAACUACUGUUGUUCAGGACUUUUGUAAGGUAAAGAAUACAUCUUUGCUCGCGAGUUGAUAUUUUAUUUCUAUCUCUGAUCGUUUAAUUUUGGAAAUUUUACGACUUUGAUUAAGUGUUUAUCUAUUUGGUCUUCUCUUUAGCAUUAUUCCUAUGAAUAGUCUGCAUCUACAGAAGUGGAUUUUGAAAUGCGAUUGGAAGUGGUUAUCUAAGAUGGUAAGAAGAAAAAGAAAGGAAGAAGACUAAGGAAGAAGAUGAAGAACAAUGAAAAGCGGGUGCUUGGGUAAAGGAGGAGAACUCAACAGUCAAAGAAGGUUGUGCUUGGACAUUUGAGGUGUCGAAAGGGAAGAAAUCUCAAUUAUUUAUCGUGUCUGGAGGGAUUGUGAUUUCGAGACCGAACUCUGUUUUUUGUUUUCUUUGCUGGUUGAUGAGGAAGAAAAACAUUCAAAGAUUUCGUUUGAUAUACUAAGCGUUUCAGAAUCGAUAUUGUUCAAAAAGUAAAUUUAAGAUCAGACUUCUUAAACAAAGUGAUUUCAAGCAAGUAUAUUUUCUGAUUUUCAUCCCAGGAUUCUCAUGUUCUAUAUACCAAAAUUUUUAAAGUAUCCAAUCUCCUUAUAUUCAGAACAUCAGAAGCAGAGUAUACGUUCUUACACAUUGACAUUAGGCUGAUAACAUCAUACAACAACCUAUUCUAUUUUUUUUUUUUUCAAAUGCAAGCGGUACUGAAUUCACAUAAAAAGUCACUGAAUUCGUUAGAUGCAUGAGCUAUCCUUGAGCAACAUUAGUCAUCAAUACUAUUAUUUAAGAAAAUUAAUCUGUGUGAUAAUACAACACAAACACACAAGCAUAUGAGGAUAAGCUCUUCCCAUUUCACUUUAUUGUAUUUUUAACACUUUGGUGGAGGAAAAUAAGGUCAUUUUUCCUCAUUCAUUUUAUUUGGAUCUAAUAGAUUAUAUAUAUCCGAUGACAAAAAUAUAUUAUAUUUAUCCUUAUUUUUGUUAUUUAUUGUGUCUAACUUGACAUCACAGCUAAUGGAUUUGCCAUUCACUUUUUCAGAAACUGAAUCGUCCUCAUAGUGUAUUUGGGUUGGGGCAGGCAAAUUUGUCAAGGUCUCUACUAUACGUGAAAAUAGAUAAUCUAGGACUACAUACUUUUCUUUUUACGACUGUUGUUUUUCUACAACCUGAACUAAAGAAAAAGUAAGUUUCAAAAAAUAAAUAAAAACUAAAGAAAAGAUUUUCUUUGUCUGACACAUUAAUAAUCUACUUGAUUAAGGUCAGUAAAUCUCGAGUUUUUAAAAUCAACUAAUGUUUUUGAAUUUUCUCCAAAUACUAUAUGCUUUUAUAAAAAAAAACCAGUGAAAUGGACCUAUUAGAGAAGAAACAUACAAAAUAAAUGUUGCGAAAUAUAAAUAUUAUCUAGGAUAUUUUGUUCUAUAUUUCUUAAAAAAAAAAAAACUCGCAUGGAAAAGAAAAUAGUGACAUGAUUCUUACAACUCAUUCUCAUGACCAUUGUAUCUUUAAUCACUGUGAUUUCAAUUGUUCCUAAUUCCACCAUUUUCUUAAAGCAGAUAAAAACAAAUUGAUUCAGUAAAAAAAGAUAAAAACAAAUCGAUAUAAAUACUCAAAUUAUGUUAUAAAAACAAGGAGACAAUGCAAAAGAGAAUAUAAUUUUCAAUAGCAUAAGUAAAAACUUAUUGUUAGUAGAAAAAUGGAAAUUCAAUUAUUCCAAAGUUUAAAUUAGUUGUGAAUUUAACAGUUGUAUUUGUUUGAUAGAAACGGUUUAAAUUUUUUAUAUUUGUUUGAUGAUUUUAUUUCUAUAAUUAAUACAAUUAUAUAUAUAUAUAUAUACAUUCAAAAUAUAAAUGCUAAAAACUUAAAUUAAAUUAAAAAUUAUAAAACAACCCGGGCGUAGCCCGGAAAAGGCUCUAGUUUGAUUAAAAUGUAAUAAUUUAACUUAGGUAUUUUAUGAUAUCAAAUCUCAAUUUCAUUAAACUCCAUUUCUAUUUGACUAUCAAUACUAAUUAGUCGUAUUUAAGGGAUAAAAAAUAUUUAUCUCAGCGUCUAAUUGAGAGUAAUAAUUUUCUUGCCACUUGUAAAAAGUAUCUAAUAGAUGUUAUAAGACAAAAGAGCAUAGACGGACAAAGACAUUAAAACUAGUUACAGUUUACACGUCAUAAACACUACGCAAAGGAAAAGAGGAUCUUUUGUCGAAGAUCAUGUUUUGAGCAUAUGGGCCAUUUAUUUAUUCAUUUACUUUAAUUUUAUAAUAAUGAUUGGUGAGUUGGAAUUGAUCUGUUACCUAACGUAAAGUGCAACAACAUGGGCCAAGUUGAUCAACAAAUAAAGAUUAAAAUUAUUUUAUUAUAUUCUGUAUAUUUUUAUAUUUUAUAGGUUCACAAAAUGACAAAACACAAAUGCUAUCUCAAAUUUAUAUAUUUUCUCCAACAUUGUCUCUUAAGAAACUUACUUAAAUCCAAUUCUCUUGUUCCAAAUCCAGUCUGUGGCGGCCCCUAUCUUUCCACAACCUUGCGACUUUUAUUCCUUUUUCUUUUCGGUAUGUUAACUAAUCACUAAUCGCUUCAUAUGAUAAAUAACCCUACCUGUUUAUGUACUUUAUGUAAUUAACAUCUAUAUGGUAGACUUGACCAAUAUUUUUAUAUUAUCAAUGCGUAUUUAUGAAGCUUGCUUAUAUAAUAUAAGGUAAGUGGGAAGAGAAAGAGACCAUCACUAUAUAAAAACUAUGGCAUAUUGAUAUAAAGUGAUAGAUUUGUAUUAAGAAUAAGACAAAUUAAAACACAUAGUACCGCGAAGUAUUUCAUAAUGAAUAAUUUCAGAAAUAGUUACAAUACAGUUAAAUUUAGCCACAAAUUAACCAGUACUCGGCCAUAUAGUAAAACUUUUGUAGCAGAUAUACAGCUUGAAUUAGCUAUUAUUGGGUACCAUAUAACUUACACAUAACCAAACAAUGAUAGUGUGAUAGUAAAUGUUGACUUUGAGGUAAAGUAUAAACUAGGUCUCGGCAAAAAAAACAUAGAACUAAAGAACCGAACCAGAACAGAACCGAAAUAUCCAAAAUUGAAACCGAACCGAAAUCCUUAAAUAUCCGAACGGUUCCUAUAUUUCUAUAUAUGUAAUAAUUGAACCAAACACAAGUGAACCGAUAACCGAACGAAUACCCGAAUAUAUAAAAAUAUUAAUUAUACAUACAUAUGACACAACUAAUUAUAUAUUUAUAAUUUAAAAAUCUAUUAAGAGUAUCCAAAAAUAUUUAAAGAAAACUAAUUUAUUAUAAAGUAUCUGAACUACCCGAAAAUAUCCGAAAGUAUCUAGAUAGUUUAUCCAAAAUAUCUAAAGUAAUCUGAAAUAUUCGAGAUUUUUAUCUAAAUCAUCCUAAUUAUUCAAUAUUCUACUCAAAAAUAUCUGAUAUUUUACCCGCAAUAUCUGAACUAUCUGAAAUAGCCGAACCGGAAGCAUAACCAAAUGAAAACCAAAAUUUUCCGUGUAUUUUCAGUUUCUCGUUUUACUAUCCAAACCAAACCCGAACCGAGAAUAUGCCAUUUAGUAAAUGGAUCCUCUAGCUCCCUACCUGAACUAUCAAAGAUCCGAAAUACCCGAUCCGAACCUUACUGAUACCCAAAAUGCCAGGCCUAAUAUAAACCGUCGAUUCUUAGUUUGAUUUAAUUUAGAAAUUGAAUUGCUGAUGUUUGGCAAAUGAAGAUGAGGCUCAUCCCAUCCUAGAAUAUUUAGAAAAACCCAACUAAUAAAGAUUGUAAGUAUAAUAUUUUUAUUUUCUUAAAGUUAAGAUUUCAAAAUCUAAUCCUAAAAAUACAAAAAAAUACCUUAACAUAUGUUACCAAACCCUCGACCAAAGACUAUCAUGACUCAAUCUGCAUUCACUCAUUUGAAAAUAAUUCAAUUUUUGUAAAUCUAAAAGUUCGAGUUAUUCACGUAAAUGUCAUUAUUAUUUUGUUCUUUUUCGAAAAUGAGUGUUUUAUUCUAUCAUCUUCAUCAUCAAGUAUUUACAAUAUUGUCAUUUCCAUUAAUACACCAACCACCAUGAACAAUCAAUUUGAAGCUCUUAACGUACCAAAAAGUUUUUUUUUACUCUCUCUAUCUCAUUUCUUAUGCACACAAACCAUAUCUCUUUCGCUUUCUCUCUAGAUUCAUCCAAAAAACAAAGAUUUUGAUUUCAAACUUAGUAAGGUUCAUAUAGACAUUGAAGCUCAUGAUUCUUGGUCAUUAACGAGUGAGUCACUUUUGUGGUGAAGUUCUUCGUGCUUGGAGAAGCUAAGCAAGUAAUCUCAUGGGUUUAAUGCUCUGAAAUCAUUUUUUUUUCUGGUCAAUGCAUAAGUUAGUUUUGCAAUUGACUUUGUGUGUAUUUUUAAUAGAAGACUUCCUAACUUUUCUUUGUUAACAAAAAAACGAGAAAACUUCUCGAGAAGUCUUUUUGGAUAAACAUGUUAGUUUUACAAUUGACCGAAGUUUGUCAGAAAUUUUAUUUUUUAUAAAAUACUUCCUGAGAAGUUUUCUUUGCUGUUAGAUGAAGUCUUCUCACUGUCACAAAAAAUCUGCUUAAGUUAGUUUUUCAAUUAACAAUUAAUAGUAAAAAAUAUAGUAUUAAUGAGAAGACUUCUUGAGAAGUCUUCUCAAAUUAGAAAACUUGUUGUGAAGUAUUCUAGGAAGUUUUCUAAGACGCCUUAUAAACCCUAAAUUACUAGAAUUCUUCGGAAGACUUCCUGAAAAACUUCGGAAGACUUCACAUGUUUAAAUUCUUGCCAAGAAUUCUUCUAAUGCUUUAUAUGUUAGAAGACUUCUUGGGAAAUCUUUUGGAAGUCUUCCAAACCUUAUAAUCAAAUAACAAAGUAAAAAACACUUUUUUAAACUUAAAACAAAUUUAGAAGUGUUUAAAAUCAAGUUAUUAAAUAGUCAGUAAACAAAUGUAAGUCAAUUUGUUUUUAUUUUUUAAAGUUAAGACUUCAAAAUCUAACCCUAAAAAUACAAAAAUAUAUUACAACAUAUGUUACCAAACCCUCAACCAAAGAUUAUCAUGAAUCAAUCCAAAUUCACUCAUCUAUGCUGAAAAUAAUUCUAUUUUGUAAAUCUAAAUUUACCUCAUUUAGAAAUAUUAAUUAUUACACGAUUUCAAUUUUUUUCCUAUCAAAAUAUUUUUAUAAAAUUUAUAAAGUACUUAUAAGAUCUAAUCCAUGAGAAGAUUUCCCCAGGAAGACUUCUGGAAAACUUCACUUUAAGCAGGACACCUAUAAUUCUACUAAAAGUUUGGGCGGGAACAUGUAUGAUGUCUUCUGGAAAGUCGUUGCGUUAUAUGUUAGAAGACUUCUCUGGGAAGUCUUUUGAACCCUAAUCCAAUCAAAUAACUAACUAAAUAGCAAAAAAAAAAUUCUUUGAACUUAAAAUCAACUUAUAAAGUGUUUAAUAUACACAAAACUAAACACAUGUAGGUCACAAUUAUUUAGUUUUUAAAAAAUUAACAUUCCAAAAUAUAACCCUGAAAAACAAACAAUAUUAUAACAUAUGUUACCAAACCCUAAACCAAAGACUAUCAUGACUCAAUCUAAAUUCACUCAUCUAUGUUGAAUAUAAUUCAAUUUUAGUAGUUAAACACUAAAACUGUGUCUUUACUACUGCAAGCUAACAAUAUAGAUGUAGUAUUUGAGAUUCAAUUCCAGAGGAUCAGUUUACACUUUAUCUUUAUGAGUUCAAUAUUAAGCUAAAACAAUAAGGGGGGGGGGGGGGGGGGGGGGGGGUUUGAGUUUAAGGUAUCGUAAGAAGCAAGUAACAGAAUGGAUUAAGGUUUACAGAUGAUUAAGAAAGCAUGCCUAGGGCGAUGGAUCGGAUAUCAAGCGAGCAUGAGCCAAACAACUAUUCAAGGAGAAAUUCCAAACAAGUCUAGAACUCAAAAACAUAUACAGAUUGACCCACAGUCGUGGCGUCUCCCCUUUUAUCAAGCAAUCAUAAUCCCUAAACUGUCGCUUGGAUUAGAAUAUGAAGACAAACAUUAAGUUCAGAUUCGAUUAGUUCACAACUCGCCCUAACAUCUACUUUUGCUGGCUAGGGACGAGUUGCCCAUUCAUGUUAUUUCUAGCAACCUAAAACACUUUUGAUGAAUAUAUUAAACCUAGAAUCAAGCACUAAGUGGUUAACUUGAUGCAAGCUUUAAGUGUAACAAUGAAUGGAGACAAUCAAACAAUAAUCUUUAUUUGUGAUCAGCUCAUGAAUCUCAGUAUCCAAACACUGUAGACUAAGCAAUCUGACUACUCAGCCAUGGAACAAGGAAACAUAGAGAUAGAGACUGAAAUAAACAUGGAUAUGAAUGCAAAAUAAGUAAAGAUAGGGCUCAAGGGAUUCUUCUCUAAAUCGAGAGAGAUGGCCUUCUCCCUUUACAAACUAGCAAAUCCCCAAGGUACAAAGCUCUCUAGUCUGGUUUCUUCUCCCAAAAUAGCGUAGAAUAAUAAUAGAAAACCAGAAAAGAUAUAUUGCAGGUCUCUGGUGGCUGCAGGAGAUAAAAUUGGGAUGAUUAGGGUAAAUCCCGAAAUAUUAAAUGUUUCCAUAAAAAUCUCUGCCGCAGGAACAUGGACUCGGGUUGCUCCGCUCAAUCGGAAACAUCCAAUCGGACUGCUCUGCGUGAAAAACUCCAAAUUGCACUCUUUUCUGUCCUUUUUGCUCCAAGUGGGCUAUCUUCCCUCAUGUACAACUCCAGACCUGUAAUGGCUCGAAAAGGAUUAGGAAGACUCGAUAAAGACUUGAAAACCAGUUAGAAGACAUAUAUACAAGAUGUCAAAAACACCGUAUAUCAAUUCCCUCAGAUUUAGAUCCUUGUUUAUCCUCAAACAAUGUUAAGUAUCAAGAACAAGGAUAAAAGUUUGAAAGUGUGGGAACUCUCCUAUUCUCAGCAACCAUACUUUAACCACGAAUCUCUGAACCAUAUAAGCAGUAAAACUAGGACAACACACCCUUACCAAAGCCCUCUAACUGCUGUUCAAGAUUGGCUCCAUACUCUACAUCUCAAACCUGAAAAAGCUACACUUUCCAGACAAAGCUCCUUUCAUUCAAUUAAAAGUAGCGUGAACUUCUCAUCAUAAGCAUUAUUCAGGGUAGACAGUCUAGGAAUUGAACAAGUUGUUUGAUGGUGGAGUUAAGAGUAUUUAGGGGCUACCAUUUUUUGUAGAGCAUGUAGGAUAUCGCGCAAAAUAGCAAGAGAGGAUAGAUCCAUUGAUGUCCACAACCCCAACUCGUUUUUGCUACCUCUGGAACGACGGUUCUGCUCUAUCAGGAUCAACCGUCUGGCUGAUCAGAUCACAUGCAUGCUCUUUAUGUUUUCAACUUGGUAUCCUACUCUUUUGCUCGACUUUCCCAGUGGCUCAUGUUUCUUUGAUUUCUUCCCCCCUUCUCCAUCACCUUAUUCUGUUUUUUUUUAAGACUGGUAUGGUGAUGUGACGAAGAAGGAGGUAAUACAUGAUUGUUCUGAGUGCCACUGGUGGUUCUGAUUUCGCAACCAUUCUGGUUCUCCACCCCUGCUCUUGCGCAGUUCUUUGCUUAUGGAGCGGUUGCUCCCUUAAUCUGCUUGUUCUCCUUUCUGACGGUAUUUCUACAGCAGUAACGAGUAAGAGGCUGUGUUGAUCCUUUCCUCUCCGAUCUUUUUGCAGAUAUCUGCACAUAUUACACUAAAAAACAAAUGCAUGAAGGUGGAAUAAAGGCUAAGGUGCAGGGUAGAAACUAGCUAAAUGGAUAAAAAGGAUAAGAAGUCCUGAGUGUAUUCUCGUUUCCCUGAUCUAAUGCCCAUAAUAAGAAGAAUUGCAGUCAAGAUUAGGUUCAAGUUAAAUGGAGCUGAGUCUUUCCAGUGUAACCUCGACAAGCCAAAAUCUUCUGGAGAACCAAAUGAGAUAAUAUCAGGGUGUUCUAGGUCCACAUGUGUGUCUUUCAUCACUGCUAAGGUCACUGAAUAAGAUAACUAAAGCACGAGGUGGUUAGUGAUCAACACAUCAUAAGGUCCUAAUUCCCAAAAAGUUUUGACUGACUCGAUCCUAAAAACUGACUCAAACUGACUCAAAAGAAA